GCCGGAUUAGCUCAGUUGGUAGAGCAUCGCAUUCGUAAUGCGGGGGUCACAGGUUCAAAUCCUGCAUCCGGCA
rnacentral:tRNA from 1 species